UGUGCAAACAGCUCCUCGUGUUUUUUCCGUUAGCCGGGAAACGCGAACUGCAGCGUUUGGAACCUGGGUUUGCGCGUGUGGAAAGCAAGAAGGGGUUACUCUGCUGGAAUUCGACAUUGCAAAUAAAGGAUUGAGUUUGUGCAUCGAUUGUGAACACAACAGGCAGCAAGCUAUAAUGGUGGUCCUGGCUGGAGUCGUUUUCACAGACUCUGCAGUAAUCUGUGGAGAUGAAUUGGCAGUUCUCUGUAGUUUUCACAGAUCACUGCCAGUUCGUUUUGAGGCCUUCAGGAGUGAAGACCUGGCUCAUCAUCACUCUUUGUUGUUUUGUUAAAUUUAUUUACACCCUACUUUAUUCCAGAGGAAAGGAUUUAACGUAGUUUACAUAAAUGUGUACAGCAGGGUAAAUUUAAAAUAAGUACAGAGAAAAAUAGGACAAAAGAAAACCGUGAGUGUGAAAGAUAAGAUUAAGCCAGCAGUUUUGUAUGCAAAAUGCAUGGUGUAAGGUCCUAUUGGUUUGCUGGAGGUAGGCCACACAUAUGACUCUCAGUUUUCUAGCAACCAAGAAAAAGAUCAGUUGCAAGUGGAGUAGGUGUUUUGGCUAAGCUGGAACUAGGACUUGAAUAUAGCAGCUUGUAGAGUUACGCCACUUGCCCACAUCUCUUCCAUGAGCCUCUUUAAGUGUAACAGAAUGCCUGGGAGCACGUAAACGCUCCUACUUAGGUGCCUACUUAGCUUCUAAUUUUCAUGGGGCCCAUGAAUCCCAUGAAAAAUAACUUCGAACCCUGUCCACAAUUAGAGUUCAAGUAUAUGCAGACAUGUUUAAAGGACAAGGGACACCCAAAGGAAAGAUUGCGCAGAGAGAAAGCGAGCAUCCGAGAGAAAAUCACCACAAGUGAGGCAGAGGGAGGCCGGUCUCAGCAGAGUUUUGGAGGUCGUGAGAAGAAGAGGUAGGAGAUAGGAGAGUGGUUCUGAGUACUUGCCUGCGGAUGUUACCUUAUCCACCGCCACCAGGUUUUCCAGUGCCUGGAGUCUUGGGCAGGAAUGGGCCACUGUAAGAAAGAGCUUUAUCACUAGGGGCCCAGCCAACUUUUUUGUGGGAUAUCCCUCCAAAAUAAUUAAGAGUUCAGAAUGCUUCAGAUUUUGAAGUGAAACUGGUACAAAUAUUGUUACUUAAUAACCCGAUAGUUUCUAGGGCAGCUCACCAUAAUCCCAAGUAUUAGCCAUCACCCUCAGCCCCUUCAGAGUACAAUGUGUUUACUGAAGGAAGUUGGGAAAAUGAAGAAAAAAAUAUAAAAAUCACCUAUAAUCUUAUCAGUCAGAUGGCAGUUUUCCUGUCUUAUUUCUGAAUAAUGGUUGUUAAACAUUUGCCAGCACACCAUAAGGCUUAGGGAGGCAUCUGGGUCAUGCAUGUUAAUAUCCUUGGGUAAUUCCAGAAAUGUCUAUGAAGGGAAACUCCUGUUAUUUAUCUAGACUUCCUGAUUGCAGGGGGUUUGGGCAUCAUGAUUUAGGGGUCUUAAUAAAAUUAUUAUUUUAUUUUUACUAAUAGGUAAUGUCUGUGCCUAUCAGAUAAAGGCAAACCAGUGCUCAGAGGAACCCAACCAUCUCUGUGUUGAGACCAGAGAGCUGUCUCUAUGGAUUGUCCUUAGAGAAGGCAUUUUGGAACACAGUAAACAGCAGCCUGGUGACUCCGAUUACAGGGCCAGUUGCCUUUGUUACAAUAAAAGCAAGUCAUCUACACAGACAAACUGCGGCCUGGACCAGCUGGUGAAACAAUUCUGAAUCCUGCCCACAGCCUUCGGUGGUUUUGGAUGAAAGGCCAGCGCCUUGGGAGCCCUGCGUUUGAUUUCAGGUUUUAAGGCCGGCACUGGUGGAGCAAUGAAUGGUGAAAGCUCUCCCCUUAAAGGAGCACAAUUGCCUUUAGGUGACUGCUAACUCAGGCUUUUGCUGAGGACAGUGUUUACUUUGUGAGCUUAAUGACAGGGCUGGCUUUCUGGGAGUGUUGCAAUGAAACAGACUCAGACACAGGCCAUCAUGGACCUCCUCCCUAGCAAGGCCGCCAUGGCUGGCAUCUCAAGAGCAGUCCAUUGAACUUGGGAUUUGGGUGUGAGACACAGUUUCAUCAGAAGAAUUUAAACCAAAGUCUACAUUUGCCCUCUAGAUAAAUGUGUGUGUUCAGCAGCAACCACAACUCCUUGCCUCAUUCUCUUGGUUGAUUAUGUGACUGUGAGAAGAAAAGCAAAAGCAAAAGUGAGAAGCAUAGCUAUGAUGCUAUUUUAGUUAAAAAUAUUCUGGUAGAAUUUGAAGGUACCAUAAAGAUUACCUACAGAUGGAAAAAACUGAAGCUCAGAGUUGGGAAGUGCCUUGUCCAAGAUCACACAGCAUGUAAGGGAAGAAGUAGGACUGAAAUCCAGAUUUCUCUGUUCCUGGUCCUGUUUUCUCUUUUCUUUUGUUGAGACAGGGUCUCACUCUGUCGCCCAGGUUGGAGUGCAAUGGUGCAAUCUCGGCUCAUUGCAACCUCCAACUCUUAGGCUCAAGAGACCCUCCCACCUCAGCCUCUUUAGUAGCUGAGACGCCUGGCUAAUUUUUAUUUUUGGUAGAGAUAGGGUUUCACCAUGUGGCCCAGUCUUAUCUUGAACUCCUGAGCUCAAACGAUCCACCCACCUUGGCUUCCCAAAGCGUUGGGAAUAUAGGUGUGAGCCACUGCACCCGGCCAGGUCCUGGUCUCUUUUCAUUAUUAUACAGCUGUCGACAAUCAUGGAGAGUUCUUUUUCCCUUUUGUUGGGUUCUUGUUCCUUUGCAAAGUCUAUAAAGAACCAAGAUGAUCCAGGAAAUUCAGGGAGUCCUCAUUCACUUCCAAAGGCAGUUUGUUGUCUGUUGGCUGUGCUGUAUGAAUUGCUGUUUCAAUUAAGUUUUUCAACAUUUCAUAUGAAGGCAUGCAAAUGACCACUGAUUCUAAAUAAACCCAUUUAGGUAUUCAGGGUUUAUAAAUA